GCCUGGGUGGCUCAGUCGGUUGAGCAUCUGACUUCAGCUCAGGUCAUGAUCUCACGGUUCAUGGGUUUGAGCCCCAUGUUGGGCU
rnacentral:tRNA from 1 species